rnacentral:rRNA from 1 species
AGUGAACGCUGGCGGUAGGCCUAACACAUGCAAGUCGAACGGCAGCACAGUAAGAGCUUGCUCUUACGGGUGGCGAGUGGCGGACGGGUGAGGAAUACAUCGGAAUCUACUUUUUCGUGGGGGAUAACGUAGGGAAACUGACGCUAAUACCGCAUACGACCUACGGGUGAAAGCAGGGGUCCUUGGAGCUUUGGGCGUUUGAAUGAGCCGUUUCCGGAUUAGCUAGUUGGGGGGGUAAAGGCCCACCAAGGCAACGAUCCGUAGCUGGUCUGAGAGGAUGAUCAGCCACACUGGAACUGAGACACGGUCCAGACUCCUACGGGAGGCAGCAGUGGGGAAUAUUGGACAAUGGGCGCAAGCCUGAUCCAGCCAUACCGCGUGGGUGAAGAAGGCCUUCGGGUUGUAAAGCCCUUUUGUUGGGAAAGAAAAGCAGCAGGUUAAUACCCCGCUGUUCUGACGGUACCCAAAGAAUAAGCACCGGCUAACUUCGUG